rnacentral:ncRNA from 1 species
GCGGUACCGGUUCACGCUCGAGGGCGACCCGGCGACC